GGGAGCAUGAGUUGCAGCUAUGCUAAUGGUUAGAUCAGCAGCAUUUAGAGGAGCAAAAUGAUAAUGGAUCCACAUGGCUGCUAUGAUAACACUCAGCAUACUGAAUAAUUACAGAGACAGGGGUAGCAUGUUGAGCUUCUCAGUGAAAGUAAUUAAUAUGGUCAGGGCCUCAUUUACUCGGUGAAGCACACUGAAGCCUAAAUCUGGAACAAGGGCUCCUAUUUCUGUAACGUUCUACUGUUAAAUUCUUGAUGAUUGCAAAGCCACUCCAGAACAGACGAGCAAAACAGGAGAAUAAGAAAUACGCUGCAAAACCAGUGCUUAGGUAAAACACUUUCAAAAGCCUUCUUCUGUGAAAGCACGGGACAUAAUGUCUGCAAUCAAGGCCUGUGCUUCUUUUUCACUCAUCUAAUAUCCACACUGAUUUAUCUUAGCAACAGUGUGCUGCAGACCUAAGAGCAACAGCAUCUUGUGAAUUAUUUCAGCAUUUCACUUGAGAGGGAACACUCAAAGCAGCUACCCAUCAAAAUGUUAAAAUAUCUUCAGGAAAGAAGCUGUUUUCCAAAGCUCUCACUGAGAUGGUUUCUCAAAUCAGGACGGGAUUUCUGAUCAAGAAGAGCCAGCUGUGUAGGAGACAUCCCUUAGGGUCAGUCAGUUUGACAUGGACUAUACUACAGCCUUAUUUCGCAGGCGUGUGCUGCACAUCAAGUACUGAGGAACAGUCUGGUCCUGAACAGCAUAUUCUGGACCUGGAAAGUUAUCCACCAGAAAUAUUAAUUAUUUAUGAUGCUACAAUUCCUGCUACAGAGAAAUUUUGCAUCUCUGCUUUCACAGCCGUUUAUAUCCAUGGAUCUUGCAUACAAUAAUCCUCAUGAAGAUAGUAAAGAUUCAUGUCUCAAAACGUCUCCUGUUCUAUGCUUCUGUUAUAGUUCUGUCCAGAUCACCCAUCGAUAACAGGUUUAAAAAGCCAAGAGAAGUGCACAGCCACUAGCAAAUCUAGUGAAAACUCAUUUGCAAGGGAAUGAGCCGUGUUCUGAUACAGUUGUACUGAAAUAGCAUUUUGGAAAGUAGGUGUAAAAGUAUUUUUCAUAAAAUCUAGUUAUAAAAUGAACAUAUAUGUUGUCUUUUUGGACUCUCUGAAACUUUGAUCAUGUAUCAUAACUAUUAAAUUAAAAUGCUCACACAAAGACAACAAAGGAAAUAAAGC
rnacentral:lncRNA from 1 species